rnacentral:rRNA from 1 species
UACGGAGGAUCCGAGCGUUAUCCGGAUUUAUUGGGUUUAAAGGGUGUGCAGGCGGGGGAUUAAGUCGGCGGUGAAAUUUUGCAGCUCAACUGUAAAAGUGCCUUCGAAACUGGUUUCCUUGAGUGUAGAUGAAGUAGGCGGAAUUUGUGGUGUAGCGGUGAAAUGCAUAGAUAUCACGAGGAACUCCGAUUGCGCAGGCAGCUUACUAAACUACUACUGACGCUCAGGCACGAAGGCGUGGGGAUCAAACAGGAUUAGAUACCCCUGUAGUCCCU